rnacentral:rRNA from 1 species
AGUGGCGAACGGGUGAGUAACAUAUCGGAACGUACCCAGUAAUGGGGGAUAACUAGUCGAAAGAUUAGCUAAUACCGCAUACGCCCUGAGGGGAAAAGCGGGGGAUCGAAAGACCUCGCGUUAUUGGAGCGGCCGAUAUCUGAUUAGCUAGUUGGUGGGGUAAAGGCCUACCAAGGCGACGAUCAGUAGCUGGUCUGAGAGGACGACCAGCCACACUGGAACUGAGACACGGUCCAGACUCCUACGGGAGGCAGCAGUGGGGAAUUUUGGACAAUGGGCGCAAGCCUGAUCCAGCCAUUCCGCGUGAGUGAAGAAGGCCUUCGGGUUGUAAAGCUCUUUCGCAAGGGAAGAAACGAUACAGUCGAAUAAACUGUGUUAAUGACGGUACCUUGAUAAGAAGCACCGGCUAACUACGUGCCAGCAGCCGCGGUAAUACGUAGGGUGCGAGCGUUAAUCGGAAUUACUGGGCGUAAAGCGUGCGCAGGCGGUUUUGUAAGUCAGAUGUGAAAUCCCCGGGCUCAACCUGGGAACUGCGUUUGAAACUACAAGGCUAGAGUGUAGCAGAGGGGGGUAGAAUUCCACGUGUAGCAGUGAAAUGCGUAGAGAUGUGGAGGAAUACCAAUGGCGAAGGCAGCCCCCUGGGUUAACACUGACGCUCAUGCACGAAAGCGUGGGGAGCAAACAGGAUUAGAUACCCUGG